rnacentral:rRNA from 1 species
GGGUGAGCGGCGGACGGGUUAGUAACGCGUGGGAACGUACCCUUUUCUGCGGAAUAGCCUCUGGAAACGGAGAGUAAUACCGCAUACGCCCUUCGGGGGAAAGAUUUAUCGGAGAAGGAUCGGCCCGCGUUAGAUUAGAUAGUUGGUGGGGUAACGGCUUACCAAGUCUACGAUCUAUAGCUGGUUUUAGAGGAUGAUCAGCAACACUGGGACUGAGACACGGCCCAGACUCCUACGGGAGGCAGCAGUGGGGAAUCUUGGACAAUGGGCGCAAGCCUGAUCCAGCCAUGCCGCGUGAGUGAAGAAGGCCUUAGGGUCGUAAAGCUCUUUCGCCUGUGAUGAUAAUGACAGUAGCAGGUAAAGAAACCCCGGCUAACUCCGUGCCAGCAGCCGCGGUAAUACGGAGGGGGUUAGCGUUGUUCGGAAUUACUGGGCGUAAAGCGCGCGUAGGCGGAUUGGAAAGUUGGGGGUGAAAUCCCGAGGCUCAACCUCGGAACUGCCUCCAAAACUCCCAGUCUAGAGUUCGAGAGAGGUGAGUGGAAUUCCAAGUGUAGAGGUGAAAUUCGUAGAUAUUUGGAGGAACACCAGUGGCGAAGGCGGCUCACUGGCUCGAUACUGACGCUGAGGUGCGAAAGUGUGGGGAGCAAACA